AUGGCCGACGGGAUCGUUAGGGCGCAGGCCGCCUGGCCCGGCGGCGGCGCUGCCGCUGCAGCCGCUUUCGGAGAGGUCGCCUGCAAGGGCAAGGAGGUCCCCGCCAACGUUCUCCGUGAGGAUGAGCGGUCGUGGGCGAGGAGCGCCUUGCGUUCCGUGAUAGUUCGCCUCAGGCUCCAGUGUUUUUUCCUAGUCCUUCCUGAGAAGGCAGUUGUCCGGUUAUGUGAAGCAGAAGAUUCUGGCGGACCCGUGAGUACUGUGGGAGCUUUCUUUUCGCUAGGCUGGCUGUACCUGUAACUAGUUUGUAACUUCCUAGACUCUUUCCCGUCCCCUCUUUUCCUCUGGAUGUUGCGGAGGGGCGCACAGUAGGCUAUUUUGGGUUUUCCGAUGCUGUAGUCUUUUGCCUCUAGCUUGUAAUGGAGUUGAGCUUUUUGACUAAGAGCGGCGAUAUAAAGCGAUGCUGGUCUCCGGCUACGCGCUUGUAGUGCAAAAAGCAGUGUUGUUCCGAAGUACGGUCUGAUGCCCGUUUUCACGGUUUCCAGACAGCGGCGGUGGUACUUUGACUAUGCAGAAGAGGGNNNNNNNNNNNNNNNNNNNNGGCGUUAUCGAGGACGGAGAGUUUAUACAGCCUCAGCCGGAUUACUCCGGGUUCUUUGAAGAUGCCUUCCUACCUCUGGCCGAGGCAAUAUUUGGACAUAACUGAAGGACAGUUAGCAAUUGUUUGCCGCUUGUGUGUUUUGCGUGUAGAAGGUAGAGAACUUUGCCUAUUCAAAGAUCGCUUAAGAAGAAUCGCUGUUUUGUCGUGCGCGUUUGGGGUACCUGAUAAUCUGCUUCGGUAGGACGAGUUCGGUGGGGCAUAGUGAUUUGCUUAAGCUGUUGCCUUUCUCUGAAGCUGACUGCGUUGUAACUGUUUACUCUUCCUCCAGCGCCUUGCGUUCCGUGAUAGUUCGCCUCAGGCUCCAGUGUUUUUUCCUAGUCCUUCCUGAGAAGGCAGUUGUCCGGUUAUGUGAAGCAGAAGAUUCUGGCGGACCCGUGAGUACUGUGGGAGCUUUCUUUUCGCUAGGCUGGCUGUACCUGUAACUAGUUUGUAACUUCCUAGACUCUU
rnacentral:lncRNA from 1 species